GCGCCCUUAGCUUAAUGGAAAAGCGUCACAUUGACAUUGUGAAGAGCGCAGGUUCGAUCCCUGCAGGGCGCA
rnacentral:tRNA from 1 species